CACAGACAGACUCGAGGCUAGCUGCUCCGAUUCACUGGCUUCAUCGCUGAGUUCCGACAUCCUCAGUGAUGGCUGGAUUAUGAAGAAGACUGGAAAAUGACAUAGCGUUACAACAGCUCCCAGAAAUUUUAAAGGAAAAGUCAGCAGUCAUCGUCAGUUUGCCGGGUCAUGUUCCUUUAUUUGGGAUUGUUGCGAGCAAUGACGUUUAACGGAUAUUUAAGGCUCAACAGAAAGUCCACAAGUACCCCGUGGGUUUUCCGCAAUGGCAGUUGUCUGUCUACUUGAUGAAGCACGGUAGCAGAACACAGGUUUGUGGGAGGGUUCUGACACAGCAGUGACCCUUGCUGAAGUCAUUGCUAUGGAAACAGAGGACAACAGGCUAAUCACCUUUGUAUUUAAUCAAGAGAUAAAAACAGAAGAAAACAGUAUGUGUAAUUGAAGUAAAAUGAUCAAUGUUUACAAUGUGAUGCCACAUUGUUCUGGAAUCAUUUAGAAUAUGUAAUCUAUAUAUGUAAAUAUAUGCAAGUAUGUAAAUAAAUAUUAAAUUAAUUAA